AGAUGGGAGCUUGCUCCCUGAUGUUAGCGGCGGACGGGUGAGUAACACGUGGGUAACCUGCCUGUAAGACUGGGAUAACUCCGGGAAACCGGGGCUAAUACCGGAUGCUUGUUUGAACCGCAUGGUUCAAACAUAAAAGGUGGCUUCGGCUACCACUUACAGAUGGACCCGCGGCGCAUUAGCUAGUUGGUGAGGUAAUGGCUCACCAAGGCAACGAUGCGUAGCCGACCUGAGAGGGUGAUCGGCCACACUGGGACUGAGACACGGCCCAGACUCCUACGGGAGGCAGCAGUAGGGAAUCUUCCGCAAUGGACGAAAGUCUGACGGAGCAACGCCGCGUGAGUGAUGAAGGUUUUCGGAUCGUAAAGCUCUGUUGUUAGGGAAGAACAAGUACCGUUCGAAUAGGGCGGUACCUUGACGGUACCUAACCAGAAAGCCACGGCUAACUACGUGCCAGCAGCCGCGGUAAUACGUAGGUGGCAAGCGUUGUCCGGAAUUAUUGGGCGUAAAGGGCUCGCAGGCGGUUUCUUAAGUCUGAUGUGAAAGCCCCCGGCUCAACCGGGGAGGGUCAUUGGAAACUGGGGAACUUGAGUGCAGAAGAGGAGAGUGGAAUUCCACGUGUAGCGGUGAAAUGCGUAGA
rnacentral:rRNA from 2 species